AUCUAACCAUUUAUCGGGCUAGGGACUAGGGUUCAUCUUGGUGAACACUUAACAGGGAGGCAAUGAUUUUAUGCUUGUAUGCACUGAUGCCUUGUGCGAAAUCAGUUCUCAAUCCAAGCAGUUAAAUCGCCUCAUUUUUGCAUGCAGUGAUCCACUCAUCCUUCUAAGUUCUAAUAUCUCAUCUUUUCCUGUAAAAAUCUAUUCUUUCUUUGAUUUGAUGCGUUCAAUCUGCUUAUUUCAUUUCAUAAUUUUUUGUGUAAAGCUUUAAUUUUUAGAUAUUGGACACUGAUGAAGCUAUUUCAUUAUUGUCUUCUUAUUCCCAUCACAGAAUAACUGAUAUUCGUUUAGAUCUUGCUUCUCCACCCUCGCUGUCCUCAGUUUUUUUUUUUUUUUUUUCCAAGAGACUGAUAGCCACUUAGAUAUUUUUGCUGUUAGUGUGUUUCACUUAAUGGUUUCAUAUGUUGCCUAUAGAGAUUAGAGAUUAGAGAAUGUCUAGAUAAAACAGUUCAGGUUUUUAUGGGAUUUUGGAUCGCUCAUGCAAAAAUGAUGUGAGUUACUGCUUGAAGUUGUGAAAGGAUUUGCACAAUGAGGAAUAGGCUGUGACAUGGUACAUAAACCAAUCUGUCUGGUAAGUUCUGAAAGAGCUUCUUGAAUGCAUGAAGUUCAUCAAUUACUUGUAUGUAUGCUGUAUGUGAAAGUAUAGUUAUUUAUGCAUUUGUUGGUUACUUGUGGCUACUGUUAAGAACUGGAGAGAUCAGAGCAAUUAUGAGCAUUUAAUCUGGCAUUUCCAUAAGUUAAAUGUUCAUCCAAGGUGCCCUUUGUUUGGAUGAAAAGCACUGCAAUUGUGAAGCCUUUUACUGGAUCUUAUAUUUGAUUGCCUCUAUUACCUUUGUUUCUUUGCUUUGGCUGUAUUAGGAUCUGUCUCCAAGUAAUAGAAAUAUGUGAAAAAUAUGAAUAUAGCAGAGACAAAGUAAGAAUAUAGCUUAAAUUCAAAGCCUGUCUUCUUCAACAAAUUACUGCCCCAAAAGGCCCAAAUGUUCAUGUUCUUUAACAGGUACACUAUUUUAAAUUGAUUUUAUUUAAUUGUGAUUCUGCAAACUGCCUACUGCACUGGGAUAUAUUAGCACGCCUUGUCUUGAAAAUGCUCGAUGUGGAGAAAGAGCAUGAAGCAAAUGUGGAAGUAUCCUUCAAGUAUUCUAUUUGCAUUUUUCUUCGCCAAUUUAGUAUAAAUAAUAACACUUUUACUUUGUUCCUUCCCUAGUUUAGGCUACUGGUCAUUUUGACAAACGUAUUUUGUGUGAGGUGAUGAAAAGGGGUGAUGGAUCCUAGUGGUGGUAGGAAUGGAUAUUCCCGAGUUGUCAUCUCUAAGGUUGACAACACAUGACCACUUUGUGCUUUGCUAUGGCCUAUGGGAAAGACAAAAAACGACUGUCUUAUUGGCAACCUAGAUGAGUAGUGGGUAGGAUGAAGGAGACAAUUUCCCACACAAAAGAUUAAACUAGGGUACUCGGGACUUAGCGUAGUGGUUUGUCGGAUGUCAUGAUUGAAGGCGGCAGUGUGUGGGUUCAAAUUUCACUGGAAAGACGAAUGCGGAAAAAGUUCAGGAUGAUGGAAGGUGUUCACAUCAAGAUUAGAGUUUGACCGGUGGGCUGAUGGUAAAGUUAUCAAUACAGGCUAGCAGAGCGGGUGGGCUGAUGGUAAAGUUGUCAAUACAGGCAGAGCGGGUGGGCUGAUGGUAAAGUUGUCAAUACAGGCUGGCAGAGCGGGCAAGCGAAAGCUCUCUUAAAUUUAAAUUUAAAAGAUAAUAGUGUACCAAAAUGUUAUAAAAGGAUUAUUAUGAUGCAUUUCCUUUGUAAAAGAAUCAUAUACUACCACAUAAUGUCUUGGAUCAAUUUGUGUGGUAAUGUAUUACUCUCUUAAAUUUACCACAUAAUAAUAUAUUCAUCCGUUCUUGUGGUA